rnacentral:lncRNA from 1 species
UAGGAUGCUUAAUCAAAGUGGUGGCUUAGAAGUAGGCUGUUCAGUCUCCAGCGAAGCAGAUGAGAAGUGCAGUUGGAUUACGAGUCCGAGUGCUGACAACAUUUUACGCCCCAACUUCUGGACUCCGUUCCCUCCAAUGACACUAUGUCAAGUCUCCAUAAUACAGAGAGAGAGUGACUGAAGAAUUGCCUAUGUUCAGGAUCUGAUAUGAAAUAACCUACAAAAUAUGGACAUCUUAGACUGUGUUUAAUGCAGUGCUUGGCUUAUAGUAUGCAGCAGGAGACUACAAGUUUUGCAAGACUUGUCUUGGAUCCCCCCCCAAAAUACUGAGAGGGCAUUGAACUCUGCAACUUGUUGGUUGUUGGGGAGAGGGGAAACCCAGGAAAAAAUAAAUCUUUAACUCAAAACA